rnacentral:misc_RNA from 1 species
GCCGGACUUCGCCCCGCCGCCGUCCUCCAAUCCCUUCGCCCCCUCGCCGCCGGCGAGAUGUCGUCAUCGGACCGCUACAUGGCCUACUCACCCUCCCCCUCCACCACCCCCCACUCCCCCCACCUCUCCGGCAUGCGCUCCGCCGGCCCCAUCGUCGAUCAGGAGAAGUAUCUGGCAGAGUUGCUGGCUGAGCGUCACAAGCUGAGUCCGUUCGUGCCGGUGCUUCCGCACAGCUAUCGGCU